UAGGGCGGUAUAGAGUGGUGGGGGUAACGAACGCGACAGUCUCGUGCGGCAGGCAGGGGGUGGAAGAUGCGUACGUGUGUUCGCGCGUACGGACACGCGAAUACAGCAGAAAAACGUCGCGGCUGCGCGCGUUGCUGCGGCGUAGCGCGGAGAAGGGAUAGCGCAGAGGGGCAAGGGUCUUCGCCGGCGUGUAUACGUAUACAAACGGCGCGUGGUUCGGUGUGUUUGGAUAAGAGAAAGAGAGAAAACCGCGAUUUCUACCGGGGGAAACGGCAAGAACCGACGCCGCGCGCACUUACUACGCGACGCGAAGCUAGCGCGUCGAUGCCUCGCUGUUGAACACUGCAAAAAAAGACGGGUCCGGGCGAACUAAACGGACUCUCGUGAUUGGCCGGCGCGCACCUGCAAUGCGUCAGGCCGGCCGCGCGGACUGCUCGCUCGCUCGCUUGCCGCUGCCGUUGCCGCUGCUGCUGCUGCUGCUGCCGCCGGCUACCGGGUCAAAGCCAGCCACCCGUCUCCGUCGUUUUGUACUAUCGGCAGAGCGCGCAGCUUGUCGCGCGCGUCUUCGCUAGUAGGCGCUACCUCCUAGCGCUCGCAACUCGCAUCGGCAUUGCUGGUACGCAGCGCGCGAACAGCGCCGCGCACGACCGUGAAGUUAAUCGUUCGGGGAUGCAUCGUCCUCGGGGAAACCCCCCUAAUUGUCCACGUCACCGGCAUCCAGGGGUGAUCGCUAGCGCCCUAGGAAACUACUCGCUUUUUUUUUUAUUUUCCUUUGCCCUUCGGCCGCGACAAUCUACCGAACGAAAAAGGAAACGUUUGUUCAACCUUUUUCAUUUUUUUCAGACUUUUUUUUCCCCUCGAAUAAUCUUUGUAUUAAUACAGGAAAAAAAGUUUAUCAAAAAAUAAACAAUGAAAGUUCUUGUGUA